AGGUGACUAUAGCAUCAGGGUUCCACCUCUUCCCAUUCCGAACAGAGAAGUUAAGCCUGAUCACGCCGAUGGUACUGCGUAACAGUGGGAGAGUAAGUAGUCGCCGUUUU
rnacentral:rRNA from 1 species